GUAUUCUACGCGAUGUCUUGGU
rnacentral:miRNA from 1 species